GAUGAACGCUGGCGGCGUGCCUAAUACAUGCAAGUCGAGCGAACAGACGAGGAGCUUGCUCCUCUGACGUUAGCGGCGGACGGGUGAGUAACGCGUGGAUAACCUACCUAUAAGACUGGGAUAACUUGGGGAAACCGGCGCUAAUAGCGUAGAAUAUAUUGAACCGCAUGGGUGAAUAGUGAAAGACGGUGUUGCGGUAACUUAUAGAUGGAUACGCGCCGCAUUAGAUAGUUGUGAAGGUAAAGGGCUUCCAAGGGUACGAGGCGUAGACGACGGGCGGGGGUGAUCGGCCACAUUGGAACGGAGACAGCGACCAGGCGCCUAAGGGAGGGCGCAGUAGGGAACCUUCCGCAAUGGGGGAAAGCAUGACGGAGCGACGCCGCGUGAGUUAUGAAGGUCUUCGGAUCGUAAAACUCUGUUAUUAGGGAAGAACAAAUGUGUAAGUAACUAUGCACGUAUUGACGGUACCUAAUCAGAAAGCCACGGCUAACUACGUG
rnacentral:rRNA from 1 species